UGUAUACGCGUACUCAUUGCCCUAACUCUCAUAUUCUCUGAAUCUCUCUCUCAUUCUCUGAAUCAUCGUUUUCUCUGGUGGUGUUCGUGAAUCUCAGUGAAUCCCUCACUGAUUCUCUCUCGUCGUGAACUGUUCUUCGUUUUAGCCGUACAUCAAAAUCGCUCGUGAAUCUCACUGAAACCCUAACUCAGCAAUAUCUCUCCUGUUCGUGAACUGUUCUUCGUUUUCGCGAUUGAACGAAGUUUCUUUUCUGUUUGCGAUUGAACGAAGUUUUGUCCCGAUUUUUGAGAAAUAUGUUAAGAAUUGGAUUGCAAUUGCUGCACCAUUCCAGGGUAAGUAAUUCUAUUCUAUAUAUUUAAUCAGAAUUAUAAAUUAAGGAUAUUUGAAGAUGUUUUUUCUAGCACUUCAAUGCAAUUUGUAAAGUUAGGACUGUUGAAAAUUUGCUUUCCUUGUUUAAUCAUCUGUGUUUACAGCCUAAUUACCAUUGGAAACUAUUUCUAAUAAUUUCAUUUUAGAAAGUCUUUGGAUUCUUUAUGGAAGCAAAGGAUUGAAGAUAGGAAACCUUUUUAGUAUAUAGUGGGAUGCGAGCAUUGGAAGGAUUUGGUUUUGAGUGUUGAAGAAGGGGUUUUGAUUCCUAAACCUGAGACUGAACUUAUUGUUGAUUUGGUAUAUGUUGUUUUGUCAAAGAAUGAUGAUUUGAAAAGAGGGGUUUGGGCUGAUUUAUGGACUGGAAGUGGUGCUCUUGCUAUAUGUAUUAGUAGGAUUUUAUGAAAUGGUGGAAAGGUUAUUGCAUCGGAUUAAAACCCCGUGGCUGUGGUGGAAAGAUUAAAUUCCCUUUGCUGCCCCAUUUUCUCGUCCGAGAAUUUUACCAAAGUUGAUUUUUUUGCUAAGGAACAAGGGGAGAGUAUGAUGGAUAAAGAUGAUAUUCUUAGUAGUGAUAGUGAGGAUGAAGAGGAUGAUGAUGACGAUGAUGCUGGGAAGAAUAGCAAGUCUGAUGCCAAAAUGAAGGGUUGGUUUUCAUCUAUGUUUCAGAGACGGCAAUGGAAGAAGCACUUGUUCGGAUUUUAACUCCUAGGCAUUAUAUUGGCAACAUAUUGAGGGAUGUUCAUGCUGCUAAAGAGCAAAGGAAACCAUAUAUUGUUGUAUUUGUUGGAGUUGGAGUUGGAAAUCUAUUGAUCUUGCUAAGGUUGCUUACUGGCUUCUGGAACACGAUGUUAAAGUCAUGAUAGCUGCUUGUGAUACAUUUCGAUUAGGAGCUGUUGAGCAGUUGCGGACACAUGCACGUAGACUUGAGGUGUAUAUUGAUUUUAAUGCUUAAAGAUUAUUAGAUAUAUUAAUAGUUAAUAAUCAGUUACCGGGAGUUGUUGUAGCAAGAGUUUAUUGAUUCUAUGAGGGUGUACUAUAUACUAAAUGACUUGUAUUAUUGAUUAUUCUCAGUUUCUAGGCUUUUGCAGUUAAGAGAUAGUAUUGAAAAACAAACCUUGCAUUUAUUUUAUGUAAAUUGCAAUAGAGGAUGACUUGCAAUUACAUAAUUUUCUUAUUAGUUAUGGAUUGUAAUGUAAGAAUGAUAGUGGAGGUUCUAUCCUUAUUUCUGUUAGUCAUUCCAAGAGACUCAAGUAAUUUGUUUU